UGCAAAGGGCCCUGGGGCACCGCGGGACACGCGGGGGAAGGUUCUUGGCUGGGCUCAGAGAGGGGACCCGGCAGGCCUGGGGCCACGUGCCCUCAACUUGUCGGAUCCUGCGGCGCCUUAGGGUGGACUGGGCUGGGGUCUCGGCAGAGCUGUUUCUGCGCCGAAGCAGGACCCAGGCCAGGGACAGAGUGAGCCUGUGUGACUCCGAGCUUUCUGGGUCCCGCUGGAAACCCCUCUGGCUCUGAGACCGUCUUCUGUGAACCAGAAGGCUCUAUCCUACCUUCUGAGGGUCACAGGAGAUCGCACUUUGCAGUGUCCCCCACCCACACAGGAGAGUUGCUCGGUGCCACAGGCAGGAGGACCCCCCAACACACACAGUACGUUCAUCCAUUCAUUAACCGCAUGGGGAGUAUUCCUUGCAUCUCAGAGAUGGGGACGCAGAAGUGACCCCACUAGACCCAAGGCCGCGGGAGGCUGGGUGGAGCGGACACAUUCUGUAAACUGGACUCCCUUAUUCAACAAAGUGUUUAGUCAAUCAGUUGACAGCAACGCCAGGGUCCUCUGAGGACAGGGCCUUCCUGGAGGUCACUUGAGCCACUUGCCCCAAGGUGGUUUUCAGGGGAGUGUGGCUCCAGGCUGUGGCUGCAGACAGCGCUCACUGCCUGUCUGCAGCUGGGCAGAGCAGCUAGUCUGUCCGCGUCCAGCUCCACCUGGCUGCCCUGCCACGGCCCCAGCGGGCAACCCCUUGUCCUUGACGCCCGUUACUGCGUGCUGCAGCUGGCACCGGCUGCCCUCCUUCCUGCCUGAGACACCCCAGGGCCUUUGUACGUGCAGCUCUCCCUACCCAGAGGAUUCUUUCCAGGCCACCUUCUUCCUGCCAUACAGGCCUCAGAGAGAACAGCUGCAGGCGCCCCCUCCGCCCCCACCCCCACCAACAGAGGAGUGCCGGGUCACCCCCUGUCACGCCAGGAUUUAUUUUCAGUCGGAGUGCCAACCGAGAGCUAAGCCUACCGUAGCCUGUGUGAGCAGAUGGGGAUUUACUAUGGAGGUGACCUCCCUCGUAUAGGAGCCUGUCCAUUUUCAGCGGCACCUGACAGUGGCUUUUUCUAUCCACAGUAAGAUGUCAAGAGUGCAGCAAAAAGGACAGCACAAGGGCCUCGGAGAAGUCUCAUCUUCCUCCACGCAGUGAGAAAGGUGGCAAAAACGUCAGAAAACGUUUUUGAGUGCUCUGGAAAUUAACCACAGGCUUGCAGCAAUCUAUGUGGAGCUAUUUUAUGUUAUGGAGAAAAUAGGCUGAAUCUUAGCGAGAACAGCAUGCAUGCCCACCCACCCCCUCCAGCACUGUAGUAGGCUUAAAAAUUAACAACCCAUAUUUAUAAUAAAAACUAACAGUCUGGCAGCCACUGGAGCUGGAGCUCUUUCAAAGCCUCAUUUCCAGGAAGUCAUGAUUAUUUGACCUAUCUGGUGGUUCCCUGGAAGACACCACUUGCAAUCUGUGUGUUUCUGACUUGAUUCAGAGCUUACCCAGCAUGAAAAGACUUUUCUCCUGGGGCUAUCAUUGAAAAUAAUUAUAGGCAAUUGAUGAACUUUGCAGUUGCCCCAGGUGGUGGCUAACAGUUGGGCAAGUAAUAGAACAACAAAAUAAAUAAAUAAAUAAAUAAAGGAAAAUCUGGGAAAUGAGAUGUCCAUGGGGAGCUUUGAAAAAAACUGAAAAAAAUCCAACAUAUUCCUGGGAAUCUGGAAGGCCACACGUAUUCCCAGGUCUGAGUGCAUGCUCGGGAAAGACUUCGGAAGGCCCUGAGCUG
ensembl:lincRNA